AUUGAACGCUGGCGGCAGGCCUAACACAUGCAAGUCGAACGGUAAAAGGAAGAAUCCUCCUUGUUUCAUGGCGAGAGGCGGGCGGGAGGGCUAUGAAUGUGCCACUGCCUGGUGGAGGAGGUUCACAACUGGACACGGAAACCACAUCCGCAUAGCGUCGCUAGGUCAGGGAGCGUGGGAUCUCGCACUCUCGCAUGAGGCUGUGUCGAAUUGGCUAGUGGGUGGGGUAAAGGCCUACCCUGGCCACGAUCCGGAGCUGGUCUGAGAGGAUGAGCAGCCACACUGGAACUGAGACACGGUCCAGACUCCUACGGGAGGCAGCAGUGGGGAAUAUUGCACAAUGGGCGCAAGCCUGAUGCAGCCAUGCCGCGUGUAUGAAGAAGGCCUUCGGGUUGUAAAGUACUUUCAGCGGGGAGGAAGGGAGUAAAGUUAAUACCUUUGCUCAUUGACGUUACCCGCAGAAGAAGCACCGGCUAACUCCGUG
rnacentral:rRNA from 1 species